GACGAACGCUGGCGGCGUGCCUAAUACAUGCAAGUAGAACGCUGAAGAGAGGAGCUUGCUCUUCUUGGAUGAGUUGCGAACGGGUGAGUAACGCGUAGGUAACCUGCCUUGUAGCGGGGGAUAACUAUUGGAAACGAUAGCUAAUACCGCAUAACAAUGGAUGACACAUGUCAUUUAUUUGAAAGGGGCAAUUGCUCCACUACAAGAUGGACCUGCGUUGUAUUAGCUAGUAGGUGAGGUAAUGGCUCACCUAGGCGACGAUACAUAGCCGACCUGAGAGGGGGAUCGGCCACACUGGGACUGAGACACGGCCCAGACUCCUACGGGAGGCGGCAGUAGGGAAUCUUCGGCAAUGGGGGCAACCCUGACCGAGCAACGCCGCGUGAGUGAAGAAGGGUUUCGGAUCGUAAAGCUCUGUUGUAAGUCAAGAACGGGUGUGAGAGUGGAAAGUUCACACUGUGACGGUAGCUUACCAGAAAGGGACGGCUAACUACGUG
rnacentral:rRNA from 1 species